rnacentral:rRNA from 1 species
GAUGAACGCUGGCGGCGUGCCUAAUACAUGCCAGUCGAGCGAACAGAUAAGGAGCUUGCUCCUUUGACGUUAGCGGCGGACGGGUGAGUAACACGUGGGUAACCUACCUAUAAGACUGGGAUAACUUCGGGAAACCGGAGCCAAUACCGGAUAAUAUUUCGAACCGCAUGGUUCGAUAGUGGAAGAUGGUUUUGCUAUCACUUAUAGAUGGACCCGCGCCGUAUUAGCUAGUUGGUAAGGUAACGGCUUACCAAGGCGACGAUACGUAGCCGACCUGAGAGGGUGAUCGGCCACACUGGAACUGAGACACGGUCCAGACUCCUACGGGAGGCAGCAGUAGGGAAUCUUCCGCAAUGGGCGAAAGCCUGACGGAGCAACGCCGCGUGAGUGAUGAAGGUCUUCGGAUCGUAAAACUCUGUUAUUAGGGAAGAACAUACGUGUAAGUAACUGUGCACGUCUUGACGGUACCUAAUCAGAAAGCCACGGCUAACUACGUG